rnacentral:rRNA from 1 species
CCUACGGGAGGCAGCAGUGAGGAAUCUUCCACAAUGGGCGAAAGCCUGAUGGAGCGACACCGCGUGAAGGAAGAAGGCCUAACGGUUGUAAACUUCUUUUCUGAAGGAGCAUAAUGAGAGUACUUUAGGAAUAAGGGACGGCUAAAUACGUGCCAGCAGCCGCGGUAAUACGUAUGUCUCGAGCGUUACCCGGAAUUACUGGGUGUAAAGGGUUUGUAGGUUGGUGAAUAAGUCAGGUAUGAAAGACCGGAGCUUAACUCCGAGUUUGUGCUUGAAACUGUUGACCUAGAAUCAGGGAGAGGUAAGCGGAAUUCUAAGUGUAGGGGUGCAAUCCGUAGAUACUUAGAGGAACACCAAAAGCGAAGGCAGCUUACUGGAACUGCAUUGACACUGAAAAACGAAAGCGUGGGUAGCGAAAAGGAUUAGAUACCCUUGUAGUCCACGCCCUAAACGAUGAUAACUAAGUGUUGCGACGAGCUCGCAGUGCUGUAGCAAACGCGUUAAGUUAUCCACCUGAGGAGUACGGUCGCAAGAUUAAAACUCAAAGGAAUAGACGGGGACCCACACAAGCAGUGGAUCACGUGGUUUAAUUCGACAAUAAACGGGGAACCUUACCCAGACUUGACAUCCUAGGAAUACUUUAGAGAUAGAGUAGUGCUCGCAAGAGAACCUAGAGACAGGUGCUGCAUGGUUGUCGUCAGCUCGUGCCUUGAGGUGUUCGGUUAAGUCCGUUAACGAGCGCAACCCAUGUCCUUAGUUACAAUGUCUAAGGAGACUGCCUUGGUUAACAAGGAGGAAGGUGUGGAUGACGUCAAAUCAGCAUGGCUUUUACGUCUGGGGCUACACACAUGAUACAAUGGCCUGUACAAAGAGUAGUGAAACCGCGAGGUAGAACCAAUCUUGAAAGCAGGUCUCAGUCCGGAUUGGAGUCUGCAACUCGACUCCAUGAAGUUGGAAUUGCUAGUAAUCGUAAAUCAGAUAUGUUACGGUGAAUGUGUUCCUGGGUCUUGUACUCACCGCCCGUCAAGGCAUGGGAGGUAGUAAUAUCGGAAGUCCCCCUAGAUAUAAGGGGGCCCAUGGUAGGACUACUGACUGGGCUUAAGUCGUAACAAGGUAUCCGUAGGUGAACCUGCGGAUG